rnacentral:rRNA from 1 species
CUACGGGUUGCAGCAGUGAGGAAUCUUGCGCAAUGGGGGAAACUCUGAUGCAGCAACGCCGCGUGGAGGAUGACACUCUUCGGAGCGUAAACUCCUUUUAUAUAGGAAGAAGAUGACGGUACUAUAUGAAUAAGCGCCGGCUAACUCCGUGCCAGCAGCCGCGGUAAUACGGAGGGCGCAAGCGUUACUCGGAAUCACUGGGCGUAAAGGGCGUGUAGGCGGAUUAAAAAGUCAGAAGUGAAAUCCUAUAGCUUAACUAUAGAACUGCUUCUGAAACUCUUAAUCUAGAAUAUGGGAGAGGUAGAUGGAAUUUCUGGUGUAGGGGUAAAAUCCGUAGAGAUCAGAAGGAAUACCGAUUGCGAAGGCGAUCUACUAGAACAUUAUUGACGCUGAGACGCGAAAGCGUGGGGAGCAAACAGGAUUAGAUACCCCAGUAGUC